AGAGUUUGAUCAUGGCUCAGAAUGAACGUUGGCGGCGUGGAUUAGGCAUGCAAGUCGUACGCACAGCUUCGGCUGUGAGUGGCGCAAGGGUGAGUAAUGCGAAGGUAACCAACCCUGGAGUUGGGCAUAACCGCGGGAAACUGCGGGUAAUUCCCAGCGAUGUCGCGAGAUGGCAUCAUCUUGCGACCAAAGGUGUGAUUCCGCUCUAGGACGGGCCUUCGUGGUAUUAGGUAGUUGGUGAGGUAACGGCUCACCAAGCCGACGAUGCCUACCGGGUGUGAGAGCAUGACCCGGCACACUGGAACUGAGACACUGUCCAGACACCUACGGGUGGCUGCAGUCGAGAAUCUUCGGCAAUGGGCGAAAGCCUGACCGAGCGACGCCGCGUGAGGGAAGAAGGCCUUCGGGUUGUAAACCUCUUUCGUAGAGGAGGAAGGGGCCGUGCAGAGCGGUCUUUGACCUAUUCUAGGAAGAAGCUUGGGCUAAGUUCGUG
rnacentral:rRNA from 1 species